rnacentral:lncRNA from 10 species
CCCAGGUUCACGCCAUUCUCCUGCCUCAGCCUCCCAAGUAGUUGGGACUACAGGCGCCCGCUACCAUGCCUGGCUAAUUUUUUUGUAAUUUUAGUAGAGUCGGGGUUUCACCAUGUUAGCCAGGAUGGUCUCGCUAUCCUGACCUCCUGAUCCACCAGCCUCGGCCUCCCCAAGUGCUGGGAUUACAGGCGUGAGCCACCGCGCCCAGCCUACAGUGCUUCUUUAAGGCUAAGAAAGCCUUCACUUCCAACAGCAGUAUCUCUUGGAAGGCCAGUUUUGAAGAAACAAAGUGGCCAUUCCCUUUUUUUUCCUUCCUGCUUCUUAUGCACUGGAAUCAUUGGGAUCUAUAGGACUGAUCAACCGCAGCAGUUUUAACAGUGGCUGUACACCAAAGUUAAUCACCAGCCUGGUUUCCAACAGCAUAGAUUUGGUUUCUCCAUGUUUGUAAAUGAAAUCAUACAGCUUGUCCUCUUUUGCGUCUGGCUUCUUUUACUGAAAGAUUAUGAGCUCCUGGAGGGCAGAAACUGCAGUUUAUUCAUCUCUAUCCCCCAUGGGCUGCACACAGGGCCCCGCACAUCAGAGACAUCUGUAAUCCUGCUGAUGCUCAUGUGCUGAAAACUAUGACCGUACUCAAUAAAGAAGGAGACACAGUGUUACAGCUCUUUUGGAAUUAGUCUAGCAGAUUUCUCAGUUUUCACUGGAAACCCUUAAAAAGGUAGAGGAGAGAGAGGUGCGUGGAAGAGUGAGCACAAGAAAGGAGGCAUCUUACAGUUUAUAAACAUCUGAACACUGGAGCUCUAUCAAGAUUCUGUUUCAAUCUCUAUUUGACCACAUACGUGCUCUUUCAAAGUUCUGUGUUUGAAGUUAUGUUAGUAACAACUGAUGCCCAUCCUGCAAUGACAAAUCCAAUUCUCAGUGCAGCUCUCUGAAAUAGUUUUGCUUUCUCUCUCUAGGUCUGUUCUAUACUCCUAACUCUCCAGGAGUUUACAAGGAAUAAAAUCUCUUCCAAAAGCUUUCUGUUGCAACAACUGGACCAUACUGAAAGCUGAGGCCCACAAUUGCAAUCUAGGUUAGCAGGAUACUUUCCACCAUGCAUACUGGGCUCUGCACCAACGAUUCAGCAGUGAUGAAGAGGAAACUUGAACCCUUCUCUCCAGGAGCUGACACCAUUUAGUGAGGAGCCAGACAAAUAAAUAAAGAAGGAAAUGCCAUUAAACGUACAGGAUGACUAUCACAGUGGUAAGAGGAAUGAGGGAACACUCUGGGAGCAUAAAGGAGGUGCAUCUAACCAAUUAUCAACUGCAUCAUCAAGUAUCAAGUCAGAAAGAUUAGAUUUCAUAAACCUUGCCUCUAAGCACCAACCUGAUGGUCACUCUGACAACACAUAUAUUGAGCAUCCUCUCUAGGUCAGACCUGGGCUAGGAGCUGGGGGGAUAUAAGGAAGACUAAGACAUAGCCCAUGCUCUUAAGGAGCUCACAGUCUAAUGGAGAAAACCUCCAAAUAAACUAACACUUUCAGCGUAGUGCAGAGAUGGGGUCAUGCAAAAAGAACUAUAGAAAAACAGAGGUGGGGCCCCUAACACAGUGUGCAGGUCAGAGAAGGCUACUCCGAGGAGAUUAGUCCUGAGCUGGUUCUGAAGGGAUGAAUAGAGCUUAGCUGCUUGAAAAAUAUGGACAAGGUCAGUCCAGACAGAGGGAACUUCAUGGUCAAGAGUAUGGAGAUGAGCCUGAGCAUGGAGGUUGGGGAAUGAGGCUUGAGCAAUAAGCAGGGGUCAGAGAAUGAAGGACCUUAUAUGCCAUUCUGGGUAUAACUGGAAAACUUGGACUUGAUCCUGUGUAAAAUCAAAUCAGAUGUUGUGAGCCAGUGGGGGGCAAUUCCAAAGACAGAGGUAUAAGCCAGAGGGUGCCGGGCUAUUACAGUCUAAGGGAGAAAUGAUGAUGGCCUGAGCUAGGCCAGUAAGAGCAGCGAAAGAGAGCAGAGAGACACAGAGCUGUUUGGGAGGUAGAUGGAUGAGUGAUUGAUCGGCUGUGUGGCUAAGGCAGAGGAAGGAGUUUAUGAUGACUUCCAGUUUUCCAGUUUGUGUCCUGCCAGAAUUGGAGAUACAGAAGGAGCAGGGGUAGCAGAGGCAGGAAGGGAAGAAUGAGCUCGAUUUUGGACAUGUCAAAUUUGGGGUCCUUCUGGGUCAUCCUGGUAUGAGUGGCUCCCAAAGAAAGUGAUUUUGCAGAAGAAGUGAUGCUUGCUACUUGCUCUCCUUUACUGAUAUAAAUUUGAAGAGGGGACAUAUAAUCUGGCAAUUUCAAAUAGACAUAGAAAAGACAUCAAAGCAGCCAGGAACCAAGCAUUAAGAACUCUCUCAUAUAGAGAGUGAGCAAAUAAACCUCAUCAGACCAGCAGACUCUGCCAACAUACCCUGCAUUUCCCUGUUUGAUGUUCCUGCUAUUCCAGUGCUGAUGUCUAAGUAACUGUACCACAAAGUACACUGGGAAGGAGAACAAAUGGCCAAAAUUGUCUCAAGAUCCCCUUUUCUUUUGACAUGCACUAUGACUUGUGGCAAAUGGAAAAUAAAUAAACCCAAACAUAAAAAAAGAAUUGCAGGCCCAUGUUCUUCUCAAGUGACUUUUAAGGGGAAACAAAUGGAAAUGUUCACUUUGCUCUUAUUUGUAUCACUUUUUAAAAUAACUUUAUUGAUGUAGAAUUCACAUACUAUACAAUAAAAUCCUCUGAUGUCACUCCUAAGAUGGUAUGGCUGUGAGCAUGAGCACAGUCACCCUGAGAUGAUAGUGGUUUCAGCAUGGCUCUGUUUGUCUUUUUCCUUGAUACCUCUGUUAAGUUGUCUGCCUCCUUCUAUUAAACUACACGAAUUUCUGGCCGAUUGCUCAAUAAUUUUUCAAUAAUUUUGGGGGUAUACAUUGCUUCACAGUUUGAUCCAAUUACAUUUAAGCAGGGGUAGCUUUAUGUCGUGAUUCUUUGAGGUUUGCUCUAACCCCAAGAAAACUCCUCUUAGCUGGGCCUUUCCCUGGUUCUCUCUGAUAAACAAGAUUGUCUGUGGUUAGGCUUUUUGCUCUGAUAGAUCUAUCAGCCUCCCUUAAUUGCUCACCAUUAAAGUCUCCAUCAUUUUCUAGAGUAUCCUUAGGCUUGAACUGCCACAUACUCCUUCAAAGUCAGUUCCUUUGAGGAGAACUUCAGCUACAUCUGUUCUUAUGGAC